rnacentral:rRNA from 1 species
GACGAACGCUGGCGGCGUGCUUAACACAUGCAAGUCGAACGGAAAGGCCCUGCUUUUGUGGGGUGCUCGAGUGGCGAACGGGUGAGUAACACGUGAGUAUCCUGCCCUUGACUUUGGGAUAACUUCAGGAAACUGGGGCUAUUACCGGAUAGGAGCUCCUGCUGCGUGGUGUGGGUUGGAAAGUUUCGGCGGUUGUGGAUGGACUCGCGGCUUAUCAGCUUGUUGGUGGGGUAGUGGCUUACCAAGGCUUUGACGGGUAGCCGGCCUGAGAGGGUGACCGGCCACAUUGGGACUGAGAUACGGCCCAGACUCCUACGGGAGGCAGCAGUGGGGAAUAUUGCACAAUGGGCGGAAGCCUGAUGCAGCAACGCCGCGUGCGGGAUGACGGCCUUCGGGUUGUAAACCGCUUUCGCCUGUGACGAAGCGUGAGUGACGGUAAUGGGUAAAGAAGCACCGGCUAACUACGUG